UAGAUUCCAAUCUUCCUGCUUUUGCUCAACCCCAACAUCCAAAAACCCUAAUUCCACCAAACACACACACACACACACACACAGAGAUGGAUGUUUCUCUGGGGCAAAACCACAAACACCAGGAGUUCAUCUGCAAGUCCGUCUCUGUAUCUCCUUGUUCUACAACGUCAUCUCGCUCUUCUUCAGCAUCUUCUGUUGAUUCCGGACCGUUCAUCGCUCGUUUCAACCCCGAUUCCCGAGUUCUGCACCUGUGGUCGUCCGAUCGUGAACCUGAGUCUGGCGCUGCCAACACUGUCGACGUCGAUCUUCAAAAUGCUCAGGUUGGCGAGAAAUGAAGUUUUGUGAUUUUCGUAGGAUACACAUGGCACCAUUCAGCGAUGAGUUUCUGUAUGUUGAAAUUGCCAACAAGGCCCUUUUUUGGCAGCAACAAAAUUAUUAUGGGGUUGAUCUCACUCCCUUGUAUGGAUCUGCUUUUCAAGGAUACUUUGGUCAGGUGCGAGCCUUUUGACACAUACAUCUCUUACAUGCAUCUAGCCUCUUCUCCAUCGAACAAAAACGAUGCAACAUCUCCAGCAUCAUGCUUGAGAUGGAUCGAAUGCUGAGACCCAGCGGGUGUGCCUACAUUCUUGACAUUAUAUCUAUCAUUGAAGAAAUUCAGGAAAUCAUAGUCACCAUGCGAUGGAAGGCGGUGUUGCAUGACACAUCCGAAGGCCCUCAUGCAAGCCGAAGGGUGGUGUCUGAAUACAAGGAAGCUAAGGAGGUAGAUUAUGUGCAAUUACUUCUUUUUUCUACCAGGCUACCAAUAUUGGAGUUGAGACUGUCGCAGUUGUUGUUGGUCCUGUUUCGUACCUAUUGCUUUCAAAGCUGGCAAAGG